AUACCCACACUGCUGAGCCCUCCAAUGGAGGAUCAAAUCCUCUAACAAAAACCUACCCGACUCCUGGCCCAAAUGCCAAAUAAAUCCAAAUCUAACAGUGAAUGUCGAGUAGUUCAUGUUCAUGGCUGACAGCGAUAGGAACCUGGACUAUACGGGUGGGCUUUUUCAUGAAGCUACUGCUAUCGGGUGAUUGACAUUUGGCAGGGAUGAUCCUAUAAGAGACCGGUCUUUAAAUAUUAUCCCGUUUUUAAUAUAUGUAGAAAAUAAUCUUCGGCCUCAUGUAUACUUAUCGAUUGUCGGUGAUUUUACUACCGGAUUGGUAGAUACUAUGCGAUAUUUACUCUACCUAUAUUGUUAACUGAUCAUAAUCUCUAUCCAAUUGACAUGACUUUGUGAUUAUUCAAUUCUUCACAAAACUCUACGAUAUUGGCAUGACUUUGUAUUA